rnacentral:rRNA from 1 species
GACGAACGCUGGCGGCGUGCCUAAUACAUGCAAGUAGAACGCUGAAGGAGGAGCUUGCUCUUCUGGAUGAGUUGCGAACGGGUGAGUAACGCGUAGGUAACCUGCCUGGUAGCGGGGGAUAACUAUUGGAAACGAUAGCUAAUACCGCAUAAGAGUAGAUGUUGCAUGACAUUUACUUAAAAGGUGCAAUUGCAUCACUACCAGAUGGACCUGCGUUGUAUUAGCUAGUUGGUGGGGUAACGGCUUACCAAGGCGACGAUACAUAGCCGACCUGAGAGGGGGAUGGGCCACACUGGGAGUGAGACAGGGCCCAGACUCCUACGGGGGGCAGCAGUAGGGAAUCUUCGGCAAUGGACGGAAGUCUGACCGAGCAACGCCGCGUGAGUGAAGAAGGUUUUCGGAUCGUAAAGCUCUGUUGUAAGAGAAGAACGAGUGUGAGAGUGGAAAGUUCACACUGUGACGGUAUCUUACCAGAAAGGGACGGCUAACUACGUG